rnacentral:lncRNA from 1 species
AUGUAGCUUUUUGUGUCUCAUAUGUGUUUUUUUUCUAUUAAUAGCCAACAUGUGUCAUGUGGAUGCAGCAUUAUGUGACAUGGAUAGUUUCCUUCUCCAAAACAACCACAAGCAAACAUAGGAAAAUGACGAAUGGCAUGUGUGGUCGUAUAGUUUGGAGAAAAUGUUGGCGCAGGACCUUCAUGCUCCAGACUGUCACAAACACCCCUGAGGACUGUUUCUCAAGGCUGCAGAUUAAAGCACGGGAGCAGUGGCCCAUUAUCUCCAGCAUGAGAGACGCCCGCAGCGCGACGGAGCAGCCCGAUCAGCUGGGCUCCAGUGGCAGGUUUGCUGGGAAAGUUAUCAAUAAGCGAUUGUCUCUAGUCAUUUAAGCUGUCACGUUAUGACAGGGCUGAAAAUUAAGCUGGCAGAUAUUAAUAAUAAUGGAAAUAACACAAUGCCGAGGGGAAGAUAUUGGGCGAGUUUGGGAAGGGGGUUACGGAUAGUGUGAGUGGGUGGAUUUAUUUGCGUGCAUGUGUGUGUGAGUGAGUGAGAGUGCAUGACUUUAUUUUGCAUUGUUAGUGUUUGAAUGCAACGCUAAUUGACAGGCUGUUUGUAAAUGUUACUGUUGUGGGG